GAUGAACGCUAGCGGCAGGCUUAAUACAUGCAAGUCGAGGGGUAACAUGGUAGCAAUACUGAUGACGACCGGCAAACGGGUGCGGAACACGUACAGAACCUUCCUUUAAGCGGGGGAUAGCCCAUAGAAAUGUGGAUUAAUACCCCAUAGUAAUAUUGACUGGCAUCAGUUGGUAUUUAAAGAUUUAUCACUUAAAGAUGGCUGUGCGGCUGAUUAGGUAGUUGGUGCGGGAACGGCCCACCAAGCCAGCGAUCAGUAACUGGUGUGAGAGCACGACCAGUCACACGGGCACUGAGACACGGGCCCGACUCCUACGGGAGGCAGCAGUAAGGAAUAUUGGUCAAUGGACGCAAGUCUGAACCAGCCAUGCCGCGUGAAGGAUGAAGG
rnacentral:rRNA from 1 species